UGAGACACAAGAGGAGGCAGCAAGGUUCAAGAAAACUAAAACUUCACUCUCUAAUUAUACUAGGUACCACGUUGUUUCUAACAUUGUUUUAACAGGACCUAUGACCGAGCAGUUAUUAGGUUCUUUGGCAAGGCUAAAGAACUUUGCAUAUGACAACUACACCAAUGAGAUGCCACAGAUGAUUUUUGUUUGCAUUUGAGAACCAUUCAGGAUGACAUUACAGUGGAUCACCUCAAG
rnacentral:lncRNA from 1 species